GCCCGAGUGGCGAAACUGGCAGACGCGCUAGCUUCAGGUGCUAGUCUAGUUCCUAGGUGCAGGUUCAAGUCCUGUCUCGGGCACCA
rnacentral:tRNA from 3 species